rnacentral:rRNA from 1 species
UACGUAGGGGGCAAGCGUUGUUCGGAAUUACUGGGCGUAAAGGGCGCGUAGGCGGCCUGCUAAGUCGAACGUGAAAUCCCCGGGCUUAACCCGGGAACUGCGUCCGAUACUGGUGGGCUUGAAUCCGGGAGAGGGAUGUGGAAUUCCAGGUGUAGCGGUGAAAUGCGUAGAUAUCUGGAGGAACACCGGUGGCGAAGGCGGCAUCCUGGACCGGUAUUGACGCUGAGGCGCGAAAGCUAGGGGAGCAAACGGG